UAAUGAAACACAAGCAUUAAAACAUAAAGUUAAAACAAACAAUCCAUCAUAGUUCCGCACACCAAAAAGUUAUAACAACCCAUCAUAGCUAACCAUCUUCAUGCCUUGGAUAAGUGAGAUAUCUUCAAGAGUUCCAAACCCUACAAAAACAAUGAUGCAUAUAUGUGAAAAUCCAAUCAUAAAAAAAAUAUUUGAGUUGUACUAACAAAAUAAAUGCUAACAAAAUAAUAUUUGGCAGUUGAAUUUUAAAUGAUAACAGAACAGAAAUAUCAGAUCAUGGUAGCUACUAUUGAUCUUGUGAUAUAUAUAUAUAGACUAUAGUUGGACCCAACUUCAAAAAUUUAAAAAUAAGGGUGGUGAGACUUGAGAGUCAGUAUUAUUGAUUUAAUAAGGGUGGUGAGACUUGAGAAUCUUCUACAAGAACCAAACCUACAAUGAGAGCACACAGGUCAAGAUGAGAAAACACAAUGUAAGCAUGACUGUUCUACAAUAUAGAGCUAUACAUGCAUCGCACUAAAAAAAAAAGAAUGCAUCACUGUUUGAUAGAAACGGUAGUACAAUCAGUCAAACUAUUGUACUGCAAUAACGCAAGUAAAAAUAAUAAAAUAUGAUUCCAAGUAAAAGUCUAAGCUUUUUAGAAGUGUUCGAAAAUUAUUUCAUCUAAUCAACACUUCAACAGAAAGAAAUAAAAAGGCUCAUAAGAACAUUUAAUUCCACAGAAAGUAUUAACUGAGCAAAUGGACCUGGAAUGCACUAAAGGGAUAUUGGGGUAGCAAGCACCACAAUAGGCUCAUAAAUUGGAGAUGACCAAGAGCAUAAGUGACUCCUUCGCCUCUGGGUUUCCAAACUGAGGGUUUAUUCAUCCAUGUAAACUUCUAAAUCCAAAUAAGGUUCUUGACAGUGAUAGAAAUGUUCAACCACAUAACAUUAACUCUUUUAAUUAAAAUCCAACAUACUAGGAAUUUAUUUAUAUACCAGGAACCAUUCACCCAUUGUCUUGUUGUAUUCAAACCUAUCAAAAUAAGUUUACAGGAUCUGAAAAAAUGCAUAAACUCACUUCAAGUUAAGCAAACGAGUUUUCCAAAAAGCUGAAUUCCAAUUAUUUCACAGAACCUACAUACUGUACAAAAACAACAAAAACUCAAUGAUCCCAAAAGACGUAUGUCGUCCAGUUAAUGAUCUGCUAAAUUUAAAACCCGAAAAUCCUCAAAGGAUCAAGUCUAUCUAUACUCAGUUUACACUAAAAAGAAAUAAGAGGUUAAGAACAAGUCAGGUUCAUUCUUAAACUAAAAUAAGUGUUAUGAUAAGAACCCUAAUACUAAUAGUAACAGGCCAUGUGAGUGUAUAUAUAAUUAGGGUCCACUCUAACUGUCUAACAUAUCUUUCUUUUUCUAUAUCUAAUCUAACAAAUAAUCAUUCAUCUGUUACAGAAAAAGAUAAUGAGAAUAUAUCUACUGAAGGAAUAUAUAUGUAAGACGUUAAUCAUGUAGCCAGCAGGGUAGUUGUGGGUCUUAAAGCUAAUUACAUUUUAAACAAAAUUACUAGCCAGCAGGUUAUAUGCAGGCAGAUGCCCAUGCCAUCACCAUUCACCACUACUAGCUAGAUUGAUCUGCUAAAUUAGAAGGCAGAGUCGUAUGGAAAAAAAAAAAAAAAAUUCUAUAAAAGCCAAUGUGAUCUUACCAAGAUUCAUAUGCCAUAUCCAUUUGGUUGAAAGUGUAGAAAAGUGUAGUUCAAUUAUAAUUUGAUACAUAACAGUGACUACAUAAAAUUCAAUUUCAACCAAAAUUCAAAUCCCAUAAAAGGUAGAAAUCUAGGGUUUUGUUUAUUUUUGUUUAGAAUGAAAUCAAAUCCAAACUAAGGUUUAUAGAAAAGAAGAUUCAAAAUUAGUUUGAAGUUCAAGAUUACCUGUUGUUUGUUGUAUGAGAUCUGAGAUUAAAAGUUGAAGAAGUUUGUUUGUUGAAUGAGAUCUGAGAUUAAUGGAAGAGAGAAGAGAGAAGAGAGAAGAUGCUGCAUUGCUGCUUGCUCUAAUGCUCUAUUGUGUUGGACGGACCACAGACAUAUAUUUUUAAGCC
rnacentral:lncRNA from 1 species